rnacentral:rRNA from 1 species
GCGGCGUGCCUAAUACAUGCAAGUAGAACGCACAGGAUGCACCGUAGUUUACUACACCGUAUUCUGUGAGUUGCGAACGGGUGAGUAACGCGUAGGUAACCUGCCUGGUAGCGGGGGAUAACUAUUGGAAACGAUAGCUAAUACCGCAUAAGAACAUUUACUGCAUGGUAGAUGUUUAAAAGGUGCAAAAGCAUCACUACCAGAUGGACCUGCGUUGUAUUAGCUAGUUGGUGAGGUAACGGCUCACCAAGGCAACGAUACAUAGCCGACCUGAGAGGGUGAUCGGCCACACUGGGACUGAGACACGGCCCAGACUCCUACGGGAGGCAGCAGUAGGGAAUCUUCGGCAAUGGGGGGAACCCUGACCGAGCAACGCCGCGUGAGUGAAGAAGGUUUUCGGAUCGUAAAGCUCUGUUGUUAAGGAAGAACGUGUGUGAGAGUGGAAAGUUCACACAGUGACGGUACUUAACCAGAAAGGGACGGCUAACUACGUGCCAGCAGCCGCGGUAAUACGUAGGUCCCGAGCGUUGUCCGGAUUUAUUGGGCGUAAAGCGAGCGCAGGCGGUUAGAUAAGUCUGAAGUGAAAGGCAGUGGCUCAACCAUUGUAGGCUUUGGAAACUGUUUAACUUGAGUGCAGAAGGGGAGAGUGGAAUUCCAUGUGUAGCGGUGAAAUGCGUAGAUAUAUGGAGGAACACCGGUGGCGAAAGCGGCUCUCUGGUCUGUAACUGACGCUGAGGCUCGAAAGCGUGGGGAGCGAACAGGAUUAGAUACCCUGGUAGUCCACGCCGUAAACGAUGAGUGCUAGGUGUUAGGUCCUUUCCGGGACUUAGUGCCGCAGCUAACGCAUUAAGCACUCC